rnacentral:rRNA from 1 species
GACGGAGGAUGCAAGCGUUAUCCGGAAUUAUUGGGCCUAAAGCAUCCGUAGCCGGUUCUACAAGUCUUCCGUUAAAUCCAACUGCUUAACAGGUGGGCUGCGGAAGAUACUAUAGAGCUAGGAGGCGGGAGAGGCAAGCGGUACUCGAUGGGUAGGGAUAAAAUCCGUUGAUCCAUUGAAGACCACCAGUGGCGAAGGCGGCUUGCCAGAACGCGCUCGACGGUGAGGGAUGAAAGCUGGGGGAGCAAACCGG